AGGACCAUUGUGUCCCAGCAGGGCUGGGCUCUCAGGAGGCUGAACCGAAGUCCUGUGCUUUUGGUGCAGGGGUGCCAGGAGCAGGCGGCUCCUUGAGGAAAGCUGCUCGCAGCCCCUUCGCAUCAGGUGGCUGCAAUGAAACAAGAGGCUGGCUCCAAUGUGCCAUUAGGGUGGAGAGACUUCCCUGUUACUCACUCCUAUCAGGUAUCAUUGAUGUAUGAUGCUAAAGCUGUUUCUCUGGAACACAUGGGAACCAGACUUGAGCAAGGAAGGUCAAAGUGAAAUGGAAGCAGCAGUGCUCAUCAAGCUUUGUUCGCAGUUCUGCAAGAGGAGAAUAAGUUGGAAUUUGGAUGGUUGUUGGUUUCUUGCUCCUUUCCAAUGUGAAAAUCAUGCCAUGAGGAAUAACACUUUAAAAAAUCUGAUGUUCUCUCUUUCAAGAGAAACAAAUGAAGGCAGGAAUCCCAUUCAAAGACUGUAUCUCUCAAUGCAUUCUUCUGUUCAGAAACAUUAUUGUCUGCCUUUUUGUUUUUCUUCUUUCAAGAGCACUGUGGAGAAAGUGAUGUCUGGCUCUGUGCCAGUUCCUCAGCUGGUCCCACUUGGAAUCCCUCUUCCAGGGAAGGCUAACCAUGAAGUAGAUACAAAUGCUCUUCUAAAACUGAAAUCAGGUCUGAGAAAGAGCUUUGAAUACAGGUAAAAACGUCUCUUACAUGUCCAUGUGAAACUUUGAGCCUCGAGACUUUUGUUUGCGUUUCGUGAUGAUUUUGAUGAGAACGCAUUUUGUUAAGGAAUGUAGAAAAUUAACCAAGGUGUUUUGAUGCACCA